rnacentral:rRNA from 1 species
GAGUUUGAUCGUGGCUCAGAUUGAACGCUGGCGGCAUGCCUUACACAUGCAAGUCGAACGGCAGCAUGAUCUAGCUUGCUAGAUUGAUGGCGGAGUGGCGAACGGGUGAGUAAUACAUCGGAACGUGCCCUGUAGUGGGGGAUAACUAGUCGAAAGAUUAGCUAAUACCGCAUACGACCUGAGGGUGAAAGUGGGGGACCGCAAGGCCUCAUGCUAUAGGAGCGGCCGAUGUCUGAUUAGCUAGUUGGUGGGUAAAGGCCCGACCAAGGCGACGAUCAGUAGCUGGUCUGAGAGGACGAUCAGCCACACUGGGACUGAGACACGGCCCA